CCUACGGGGGGCUGCAGUGGGGAAUAUUGGGCAAUGGGCGCAAGCCUGACCCAGCAACGCCGCGUGAAGGAAGAAGGCUCUCGGGUUGUAAACUUCUUUUAUCAGGGACGAAGAAAGUGACGGUACCUGAUGAAUAAGCCACGGCUAACUACGUGCCAGCAGACGCGGUAAUACGUAGGUGGCAAGAGUUAGACGGAUUUACUGGGUGUAAAGGGCGUGGAGGCGGGAAAGCAAGUCAGAUGUGAAAACCAUGGGCUCAACCUGUGGCCCGCAUUUGAAACUGUUUUUCUUGAGUACUGGAGAGGCAGACGGAAUUCCUAGUGUAGCGGUGAAAUGCGUAGAUAUUAGGAGGAACACCAGUGGCGAAGGCGGUCUGCUGGACAUCAACUGACGCUGAGGCGCGAAAGCGUGGGGAGCAAACAGGAUUAGAUACCCUGGUAGUC
rnacentral:rRNA from 1 species